UUCAAAGCGGCAAAGCUUAAGCUUUUUUCUCGCGCCCGCCUCUCUCUCUCUCUCUCUCUCUCUCUCUCUCUCUCUCUCUCUCUCUUCUC
rnacentral:sRNA from 1 species